GAGUUAGUGACAAGGAGGGCUCGCGCUUGGGGCUAGUGGGGGGGGCAGUGGCCAGUUCAGGGCUCAGAUGAGAGAGGUGGCAGAGUUAGAGGCAGCCACUAGGAUGGGGGUGCGAGGAGAAGUGGGGCUAAGUAUAAAGGAGACUAGAUUUUGGGACAGUGAUCAUGUGGAAGGCAGCUUCCAAAGCGCCUUUAACAAUCCACACAGGGCCAGCAGCCUUCAAGACCAGGCUAUCCCUGCGGUCUGCUGGCAUGGGGGCACUUGACGUCCAGGAGGACAUAAGUGUCACAGGCCUACAUAGGGACAGUGUCCUAGCUUGAGUGGCAGAGCAGCAGUUGGUGAAGACGGGUGGACUGGGGGCCCUUGAGGCCCCAGAAAUCAUAGUGGGCAGGCGGCGGGGCAGGACUAGGUGCGGAGUGGAGCUCGCCUUUGAUCUUGACAAUACCAGCAGACCCCUUUUUUUUCCAGAUAAGGGGUUCUGAACCCACCUGGGGAUGAGGCCUGGUCUUAUGGAAGGUGGACUUAGCUUCGCUGGGCAGACAGCUCUGGCCCAGGGUGAUAGCAGUGCCCUCUUUGGACUUUGUCUAGGUCCCGUGCUUCCUCUUCUGUGGUCUCACUCUUCCCUACUCUUCCUCCUCAUUCUGAGGUUAAGGGGUCACUUAAAACCUUGCGUCCGGGUCAUCUGGUAAACCUGAGGAAGACGUAGAGUUGGUGCUGGAGUCUUGGGCACGGCAUUUUGGUAUUACUGGUAAAGGUGGAGGACACCCUGACUGGGCGGGAAGGGUUGGUGUUGAUUCACAGAGGGUGGGACAUGAAUGCUACCCUUGGGUGGGCGCACAGCCGUGGUUCCAGUCACCCAAAUGCUUCAUGGACGUGGUUUAUCACUAUAGUGUUCACCAUGGCAAGCAGAAGGCACCAGGAGAAAUGGAGCCCCUGCCAGUGUGAGUCGUAGCAGUGCAGGAGGGCCCGCCCUGGAGGAGACAGCGGCCUCAGUUGACGCCUACACAGUGAAUCCCUGAGGCUUAGGAAACGCGUCUCUGCCCUGGGUCCAGGCCUUUCUCAGGAAGCCCUGUGUUCAGGAGGUCAUCGUUGAAGUCAGCUUGUAGGGGGUGGGCAGGGGCUUCCAACUGGAGGGGCCGUCGGCUGUGAAUGUCCCAGAGGAAUGUCUUGUUCCGGGAGCAUCAUUCUUUGCGGAUGCAUGAAUGCCAGCAGGCACCCCUUUUCCUGGGGGUAGAGGCAUUCGGCUGCUGCACCUUCUAAACAAGCCUGCACCCGGCCUUUCUAGUUCUGUGCUGCGAACUUGGCCUGGAGAAGAUUGCAGUAAGGUGUAGGACACUUAACUUCUGCGCAGCGUGCUGCCCUGUAGAUCGGGAGCCCAGUGACCUCGCCCACCUUCCCUGCUUCUGCAGCCUGCCUGCCUCUGCAUUGGUCAGAGGGAUUCUUAACUGAAAACUUCUGGGUGUUGGGGAAAGCUGUUGGGUGUGGGAGUCUUAGAUGGAGUUGGUUGUUAAAUGGGUAGGGUUUGUGUUUUAAAAGUGUGGGAAGGCACAAGUUAGCCACAAAUUCUGUCGAGGUGAUAGAUGCCAUAUCUAAUUUGGGCUUUGGGACGUCUUCUGAACUAAGAAGGGAACCGUGGGCCAGCAGUGGUCCCUGGGAAUGGUCUCUCCGUGGGUGUGGAUUUGGUACUGGGUGGUUGAGUGGCACCCGUGGUUCUGGUCCCUUUUGUUCAUUAGCUUUUAUGACUUGGGGCCUGGCUGGCCUGGGUUCUCAGCUCUGCUCGGAUGACAGGUGUCCUCUAAAACAUGGCCUUCUAAGGUGAAACCUGAGUUACUGGAUCAAGCUUGGGAGUACUUUUGGCACCAGAUGUGGGGCUUAGGGGAGAAAGCAGAGCUCAGCUUGGCACUGGUGGAUUGAAGGAGUCGGGGUGCCGGUGAGGGGUGUGCCUGGAACUGUGGGUUGAUGGGAAUAACAGUUUGGGAACUAAAUAGUUCACAUGAAAACCUAAAGGCUGAUGGUAAAUCCUUACUGCUGGUGUCACUACUUUGAGAUGCAGAGACAGUUCUUUGGAAAAUACCAAAAUCCUGCAAGGGGAAAAGCAAAAUUGUUUUGCUUCAGUGUUGAAUGGGGAAGGGGGAUGUUGAAAAGCUUUUCUUAGUUACUCAAUAGAUGGUGUCGCUACCCUGACCCAGGCGGGCCUGUGGUCAUGGGGUGGAGCCUGGCGCAGAGGAGCUGAUUACCAAAAAGUGAAGCUGGGGAGGGCUUAUAAAUGCCUCCGUGUGGGCUCUGAAACCAUUGUAUGGGAGGUUGGCAGACUCUUCCGGGUCUCUAUUGAAAUUCUGUCAUACUGUGUGAUUAAGAAUUCCAAUGCUGCUAUCUAAAGGAAUUUCAUAUGGGAGUCAUGCCUUAUACAACACAUACAGGAAUUUAGUGUGUGAGCCAUGCCUUCAAAACACAUCUUGAAUUUCUGGAAUUGGCCAGAAGACAACAGGGCUUGUUAUUUAACCUUUCAAAUCAGUCAUUGUGACAUUGUGACCGUCUUGCACUUGCUAUGAGAUCAUUGUGUUGCUUGUAGAAACCUCAUCCGUGUACUUUGCCAAGGCUGCACUGAAUACAUACAUUGUGGGUUUGGCUUGAAUGGUGCUUUAAAUCCAUCCCUGAGCAGAGGGGAAACUUGUUAACUGUCAGUCAAAGCAGUUUGGGAAAUAAAAGUGAGACUGGGCCCGGGGGGUCAUCUUACUAGAUAACACUUUGUAAAACUUGGCUCUGAAAACCCUGUUUAUUUGCGUAUUUGUGAAAACCCUGUAUAUGUGGUUGUUUUAUGAGUGUGCUUAAAAGUGGUGUGACCCGGGCAUGAUCGCUCAUUGGAACAGCUGUGUGGAAUGGGGAAAUGUGAAGAAAGCUGUAACUGCAGGUCCGCCGCACCCGCUUCUCUGUACUAAAGUGUUCAGUGUACAAACCCACUAAUCAUUUUUCUCCCCUUUACAGCAAAAUAAAAGUUUGAGAUUGAA
ensembl:lincRNA